CUCUCUCUGUGUCUCUCAUGAAUAAAUAAAUAAAAUCUUAAAAAAAAAGCAAGCAAUGAAUUAGAAACUACUUGAAACACAAGAAGAUAUUUUAUUUAGUCAUCAGCGUCAUGCACUUUCCCAAAUGCAACCUCCACAUUUCAAAUCAAGGUUUUGCAUGGGGAGGAAAUGCAUUGUUAUUAGAUUUGGGAUGGGGAAGAGGUAAAUAUUUCUUUUGUAAAGUGAGAGGAAGAUUUGUUAUGAAGGGGGAGGUGAGUAGAGGAAUUUGUAAGAUACUUGAUCCUGGUCAAACUCAAGUUGGACAGUUUGGGAAAGGAUACAGGUAGAACUUGAGACUCUGAAAAACAUUUCCCUCAAAACUAAACAUGCCUAGAUAAUCCUUGGAAAGAUUUUGUGUUUCUGGAAGCGUGUAACCUAUUUUGAGAACCCUUCUAUGGAAGAGGCAGGAAGGCAUCCUUAAUAAGAUGACAUUUAAUGAGAUACCUGAAGGAAGUGAGGUGAUGUGGAGCCAUGUAGCUUUUUGGAAGAAGAGCACUUUAAGCAGCAGGAACUGCAAAGGCAAAAGCCUUAAGGUAGGUGGGCUUGGAAUGUUCUGGCAAUAGCAAGGAGGUCAGGGUUAGUUGUUGCAGUGACUAAGAGUGAGAGUGGUAAGUUAUGAAUUCAAAGAGGCAAUGAGAAUGUUAGGUUUUAGAAUCCAAGGCGGAAAUUUGGGAUUAUAUUCUUUGGGAUGGAUGGCUUUCCAUUGGGGGUUUUUAGCAUGGGGAUGACAUGAUCUGACUUUCAUUUUACAAGCUCACCUAUGCUGCUGUGUUAUUAAUUACUUGGAAAUAUUGUUGCCUUUAUCAUUUUCCAGUAGUUUUGUUAACUACUCUUUCUGAAUUCAUAACUGCAGAUGACAGUUUUACCUGCACAGGAUUAUGAAAAUCAUCUGACCCUUGAGGAAUUUGGGCUGCUACCUUGUCUGUGUGUGGUUUUCUGAGGUUUUUUAGCCUCAGAACUAUUGUAUUCAAAAGGAAGCCCCCUACUUUCUGCAUGUUAUCAGUUGCAUUUCAGCCAUCAAUGUUGGGGUUUGGGAGUCAGGUUGGUGCACUGAGGUCCUAGCUGAUGACCUGCAGGUCAUGGAAUCAGACCUUCCUGCAGGUACAGGAAGCAGACUCUGAAACCACAUGGGGAGUUUACUCGGGGAGUGCACCUUUGGACAUUACCUGUUAGGGAUGAGAGGAUGGGGGGAGGCUGGUGGGACCAAUAGAAGGAGAUGCUGGACUGUGAUGCAGCUGCAACAGAGCUCUUGGCCAUCCUGAAAGUGGGUGGCUCUUCAGAGUUUUCUCCGUAGAAGGGUGUAGCCUGGGCCUUAAUACCUCCCUCAUCAUCUGGUCAAUGAAAAGAGACUCCAGGCCACCUGGUGAAUGAGGACCCUGGUCUUGAAGAGGAUGUGUGGUGGCAUGGCAUCCCACCCUCUACUGAUGAUUAGCUGGAGGAUCCUUCUAUGGAUCAUCAUGCCUGUCCUCAACAUCACCAUUUUGAAGCUAAAGAAACAGACGCCCAGAGGGAGUGCAGAUGUGUAUCUGUUACUCAUAUUCUCCUGUGUUAAUGACAAAACCCAAAAUGACUUCACCACCCGCCUUCUUUUCUAAAGGAAGGAGAGGCUCAAACUUAGUCUUCAUUUUCUAAAGUAUUUGCAUAUUCCAGCCGAGAGUUUGCAGCUACUGUUAGUGCUGCCUCUAUUUAUUCGUUUAUUUUUAAGAAACACUUCUCUUACUUCAGAGCAGCCACAUGGACUCCCGAGGCGGUGGCAGAGAUCACUUCUCCCCCGCUCCACGCACAUUCUGUUCCCCUCAUCCGGCCCUGCGACACGCCUUACAGAGAAGACCCGAGCUGUGCCUGCAGCGGGACGAGUCCACUCACAACAACCGAGACCUUUCAGCCAACGCGCAGCGCGCCUGGUGGACAGAGAGAUUUGCUCUGCUUGGAUGCUUCUGUCUUCCCACGUUCACUGUGGCAGGAACGUCUCUGACCACGCGCUGGUCAUGUUCCCUUAUCUGUGAAUUUUUCUUCCCCAAAAAGAAAUGGGGUAGGACUGAAACAACCAGAUUUCAAGUGGGGACUGAAUGCAGUAACUUAACUGAAAGAGAUGGUUUGGAGACAACUGGGGAAAAUCGAAUAUAUUGAGAAACACUGUUACCGAUUAUUACUGCUUUGCCUAGGAGUGAUAAUGGAUCUGUUGUCAUGUUAAAUUUAAGUUUUUAUAUAUGAGGAUUAAUAUUGAAAUAUUUACAGAUAAUAUAACAUAAGGUCUUGGGAUGGCUUAAAAUAUUCCAGAAAGUAAGAGGACUUUGUGACAUAAGGCUGGCAAAAUGUUGGUGGUAGUUGGAGCUGCAUCACAGUCCAGGGGGGUUGAAUUCUACCACUUUCUUAACUUUUGUGAGCAUUUGGAAUUCCGC
rnacentral:lncRNA from 1 species